AGCAGUAGCCGCGGUAAUACGAGGGGAGCUAGCGUUGUUCGGAAUUACUGGGCGUAAAGCGUGCGUAGGCGGUUUGUUAAGUCUGUUGUGAAAUCCCCGGGCUCAACCUGGGAAUGGCAAUGGAUACUGGCAAGCUAGAGUGUGUCAGAGGAUGGUGGAAUUCCCGGUGUAGCGGUGAAAUGCGUAGAGAUCGGGAGGAACAUCAGUGGCGAAGGCGGCCAUCUGGGACAACACUGACGCUGAGGCACGAAAGCGUGGGGAGCAAACAGGAUUAGAUACCCCUGUAGUCCCUGUCUCUUAUAC
rnacentral:rRNA from 1 species